rnacentral:rRNA from 1 species
AACCGCGGGAGCGGAGUGAAAGAGAACCUGAAACCGUAUGUCUACAAGCAGUCGGAGCGCAAGCGACGGCGUGCCUAUUGAAGAAUGAGCCAACGAGUUACGGGCACCAGCGAGGUUAAGCAGGAAAUGCGGAGCCGUAGGGAAACCGAGUCUGAAAAGGGCGGAUAGUUGGUGUUCGUAGACCCGAAACUGUAGUGAUCUACCCAUGAUCAGGUUGAAGCACGGGUAAAAUCGUGUGGAGGACCGAACCGGUGAGUGUUGAAAAACUUUCGGAUGAAUCGUGGGUAGCGGUGAAAUUCCAAUCGAACGCAGAGAUAGCUGGUUCUCCUCGAAAUAGCUUUAGGGCUAGCCUCAGGCAGUAAGCAUAGGCGGUAGAGCACUGAUCGGGAUAGGGACUGUAAUGGUUACCGAACCCUGUCAAACUACGAAUGGUUAUGCUGCAGAGCCUGGGAGUCAGACUACGAGAGAUAAGUCCCGUUGUCAAAAGGGAAACAGCCCAGACCAUCAGCUAAGGUCCCCAAUGCCAUACUAAGUGGAAAAGGAUGUGGGGUCUCAUAAACAACCAGGAUGUUGGCUCAGAAGCAGCCACCAUUUAAAGAGUGCGUAAUAGCUCACUGGUCGAGAGGCCCUGCGCCGAAGAUUCCCGGGGCUAAAGUAUGGAACCGAAGCUAUGGAUGCAUACGUAAGUAUGCGUGGUAGAGGAGCGUUCCCAUCGGGUUGAAGUCGUCCUGUAAGGGACGGUGGACUGGUGGGAAGUGAGAAUGUUGGCAUGAGUAGCGAAAAGAAUGGUGAGAAUCCAUUCCACCGAAAGCAUAAGGAUUCCUGAGCAACGAUCGUCGUCUCAGGGUAAGUCGGGACCUAAUCCGAGGCAAAGAGCGUAGGAGAUGGACAACUGGUUGAUAUUCCAGUACCGGCAGUGAUCGUUUGAACGAAGGAGUGACGCAGGAAGGCAGGUCCGCACGAGAUUGGUAGAUCGUGUGCAAGCGUGUAGGCUGGUUACCAGGCAAAUCCGGUAACUGAGGCUGAGGCGUGAUGCGGAGGGAACUUGUUCCCGAAGGGAUUGAGCCUACGCUGCCGAGAAAAGCUUCUAGUGAGAAAGCUGCCGCCCGUACCGUAAACCGACACAGGUAUGCGGGGAGAGAAUCCUAAGGUGCGCGGGAGAACCCUCGUUAAGGAACUCGGCAAAAUGUACCCGUAACUUCGGGAUAAGGGUAGCCACAAAGGUGAAGGGACUUGCUCCCGGAGCCCGGUGUGGUCGCAGAGAAGAGGCCCAAGCGACUGUUAACCAGAAACACAGGUGCCUGCGAAAGAGAAAUCUGAAGUAUAGGUGCUGACACCUGCCCAGUGCUGGAAGGUUAAAGAAGGAUGUCCGGGUUCGACCCAAAGCAUUCGACUGAAGCCCCAGUGAACGGCGGCCGUAACUAUAACGGUCCUAAGGUAGCGAAAUUCCUUGUCGGGUAAGUUCCGACCCGCACGAAAGGUGUAACGAUUUGGGCACUGUCUCAACGAGGGACCCGGUGAAAUUGAAAUACCUGUGAAGAUGCAGGUUACCCGCGACUGGACAGAAAGACCCCAUGGAGCUUUACUGUAACCUAAUAUUGGGUUCUGAUACUUGAUGCACAGGAUAGGUGGGAGGCUUGGAUGGCAGUCCUCUGGGAUUGCCGGAGCCACUGUUGGGAUACCACCCUUCAAUUAUCGGGAUUCUAACCGAGCGAGUAACGAUCGCCGGGACAGUGUUAGGCGGGCAGUUUGACUGGGGCGGUCGCCUCCCAAAGAGUAACGGAGGCGCCCAAAGGUUCCCUCAGCGCGGACGGAAACCGCGCGCGGAGUGUAAAGGCAGAAGGGAGCUUGACUGCGAGCCAAACACGGCGAGCAGGUACGAAAGUAGGGCUUAGUGAUCCGGUGGCAUCCAAGUGGAAGGGCCAUCGCUCAACGGAUAAAAGCUACCCUGG